rnacentral:sRNA from 1 species
UAUUCUGCCCUACAGGGAAGAAUGAGAAGCUUCGACUAAGGUUCGACUCGAGCGAAGCGAGAGAACGUUGCCGCAGGCAACGGCCCGAAGGGCGAGGCGCUUUAGCGCCGAGUAAUCCUUCCCCCACCACCA